AAACAUGACUUUGAUCUGCGUCCUCAUCUGGACUCUCCUCUGCUGCUGCUUCACAGAGUCCAGAGGACAAUAUACAGUGACUCAGCCUGGAGCAGUGAGCUCUGCUGUGGGAGGAUCUGUGAGCAUCAAGUGUAGGACCAGUCAGAAUGUUCAUGUUUGGAACAACAACCAUCUUUUAUCCUGGUACCAACAGAGAGAUGGAGGAGUUCCUAAACUGCUCGUUUACUUUGCUAGCACUCGACAAUCAGGGAUUCCAGCUCGUUUUACAGGCAGUGGAUCAAACUCUGACUUCACUCUGACCAUCAGUGGAGUCCAGGCUGAAGAUGCAGCAGUUUAUUACUGUCAGAGUUUUCACUAUCCUAACAGUCAGAAUGUGUUCACACAGUGAAAAACAGUCGUACAAAAACCUACCUCAGUCAGACUGAACAGAAACUGAACUGACUGCUGCAGCUGGAAGAUACUGCAGAGACUGAUACAGUUC